rnacentral:rRNA from 1 species
UACGAAGGGAGCUAGCGUUGUUCGGAAUCACUGGGCGUAAAGCGCACGUAGGCGGAUUUGUCAGUCAGGGGUGAAAUCCUGGAGCUCAACUCCAGAACUGCCUUUGAUACUGGCAAUCUAGAGUCCGGAAGAGGUGAGUGGAACUCCUAGUGUAGAGGUGGAAUUCGUAGAUAUUAGGAAGAACACCAGUGGCGAAGGCGGCUCACUGGUCCGGUACUGACGCUGAGGUGCGAAAGCGUGGGGAGCAAACAGG